rnacentral:rRNA from 1 species
UAGGGAAUCUUCCGCAAUGGGCGAAAGCCUGCCGGAGCAACGCCGCGUGAGUGAUGAAGGUCUUCGGAUCGUAAAACUCUGUUAUUAGGGAAGAACAAAUGUGUAAGUAACUAUGCACGUCUUGACGGUACCUAAUCAGAAAGCCACGGCUAACUACGUGCCAGCAGCCGCGGUAAUACGUAGGUGGCAAGCGUUAUCCGGAAUUAUUGGGCGUAAAGCGCGCGUAGGCGGUUUUUUAAGUCUGAUGUGAAAGCCCACGGCUCAACCGUGGAGGGUCAUUGGAAACUGGAAAACUUGAGUGCAGAAGAGGAAAGUGGAAUUCCAUGUGUAGCGGUGAAAUGCGCAGGGAUAUGGAGGAACACCAGUGGCGAAGGCGACUUUCUGGUCUGUAACUGACGCUGAUGUGCGAAAGCGUGGGGAUCAAACAGG